rnacentral:Y_RNA from 1 species
GGCUGAUCUGAAGGGAGUAAGUUUUCUCUAUAGUCCACAGUUACAAAUCAAACUCCUUGUUCUAUUUCCUCUCUUCUCAUUGCUGCACUUGACUAGUCUCAA